rnacentral:rRNA from 1 species
ACCAUGAAGAGUUUGAUCCUGGCUCAGGAUUAACGCUAGCGGCAGGCCUAACACAUGCAAGUCGAGGGGCAUCACGGGUAGCAAUACCUGGUGGCGACCGGCGGACGGGUGCGCAACGCGUGAGCAACCUACCUCAAGCAGGGGAAUAACCCGGAGAAAUUCGGACUAACACCGCAUGUUUACCGAUUGGGGCAUCCCGGUUGGUACAAAUUUACGGAGGCUUGAGAUGGGCUCGCGUCCCAUUAGCUAGUUGGCGGGGUAACGGCCCACCAAGGCUUCGAUGGGUAGGGGUUCUGAGAGGAUUCACCCCCACACCGGAACUGAGACACGGUCCGGACUCCUACGGGAGGCAGCAGUGAGGAAUAUUGGACAAUGGGCGGAAGCCUGAUCCAGCCAUGCCGCGUGCAGGAAGACGGCCCUACGGGUUGUAAACUGCUUUUGUUCGGGAACAAUAACGCCUACGCGUAGGCGGAUGCGGGUACCGUUCGAAUAAGCAUCGGCUAACUCCGUGCCAGCAGCCGCGGUAAUACGGAGGAUGCAAGCGUUAUCCGGAUUUAUUGGGUUUAAAGGGUGCGUAGGCGGCCCUGUAAGUCAGCGGUGAAAUUUUCCGGCUCAACCGGAGCAGCGCCGUUGAUACUGCGGGGCUUGAGUGCGAACGAGGCCGGCGGAAUGCGCGGUGUAGCGGUGAAAUGCAUAGAUAUCGCGCAGAACUCCGAUUGCGAAGGCAGCCGGCUAGGUCGUAACUGACGCUGAGGCACGACAGCGUGGGGAUCGAACAGGAUUAGAUACCCUGGUAGUCCACGCCGUAAACGAUGAGCGCUCGCCGCGCGGGGGGUAACCGCUGCGUGGCCAAGAGAAAUCGUUAAGCGCUCCACCUGGGGAGUACGGCCGCAAGGCUGAAACUCAAAGGAAUUGACGGGGGCCCGCACAAGCGGAGGAACAUGUGGUUUAAUUCGAUGAUACGCGAGGAACCUUACCCGGGCUUGAAAUGCAGCCGAAUGUCCCCGAAAGGGGCCAGCCAGCAAUGGCGGCUGCGUAGGUGCUGCAUGGUUGUCGUCAGCUCGUGCCGUGAGGUGUCGGCUUAAGUGCCACAACGAGCGCAACCCCUGUCGUCGGUUGCCAGCGGGUCAUGCCGGGGACUUCGACGAGACUGCCACCGUAAGGUGCGAGGAAGGUGGGGAUGACGUCAAAUCAGCACGGCCCUUACGUCCGGGGCGACACACGUGUUACAAUGGGGGGUACAGCGGGUUGCAAGCAGGCGACUGUGAGCCAAUCCCGAAAGCCCCUCCCAGUUCGGAUCGGAGUCUGCAACUCGACUCCGUGAAGUUGGAUUCGCUAGUAAUCGCGCAUCAGCCAUGGCGCGGUGAAUACGUUCCCGGGCCUUGUACACACCGCCCGUCAAGCCAUGGAAGCUGGGGGUGCCUGAAGUUCGUAACCGAAAGGAGCGGCCUAAGGCAAAACCGGUGACUGGGGCUAAGUCGUAACAAGGUAGCCGUACCGGAAGGUGUGGCUGGAACACCUCCUUU